rnacentral:rRNA from 1 species
CGAAAGAGAAGCGAAGCGGUGACGUGGAGCAAACCUCAGAAAGCCAAUCUCAGUUCGGAUUGUAGGCUGCAACUCGCCUACAUGAAGUUGGAAUCGCUAGUAAUCGCGAAUCAGAAUGUCGCGGUGAAUACGUUCCCGGGUCUUGUACACACCGCCCGUCACACCACGAGAGUUUACAACACCCGAAGUCAGUGGCCUAACCGCAAGGAGGGAGCUGCCUAAGGUGGGGUAGAUGAUUGGGGUGAAGUCGUAACAAGGUAGC